UACGAAGGGGGCUAGCGUUGCUCGGAAUGACUGGGCGUAAAGGGCGCGUAGGCGGUUUAUGCAGUCAGAUGUGAAAUCCCCGGGCUUAACCUGGGAACUGCAUUUGAGACGCAUAGACUAGAGGUCGAGAGAGGGUUGUGGAAUUCCCAGUGUAGAGGUGAAAUUCGUAGAUAUUGGGAAGAACACCGGUGGCGAAGGCGGCAACCUGGCUCGAUACUGACGCUGAGGCGCGAAAGCGUGGGGAGCAAACAGGAUUAGAUACCCUGGUAGUCCACGCUGUAAACGAUGUGUGCUGGAUGUUGGGUAACUUAGUUACUCAGUGUCGAAGCUAACGCGCUAAGCACACCGCCUGGGGAGUACGGCCGCAAGGUUG
rnacentral:rRNA from 1 species